CCUUCUCAGAGAUUACUUCCUUAAUGCUGCAUGAUUGCCUCACUUGCAGAUCAUCACCAAAGGUCAUGACCUCAUGCCUGAUUGGUUCACAUCAAGUGAUUGCUCAACACUGGGUAAAAAUAUCCUGCUUUCUCAGCUCAUCUCUGGACAUCUCUGAUGGAUCUCCCCAUCUUCAGCCCCUCUUGCAAAAAUGGCUAAGCCAUUCCAUUUAAAUGGCAUUGCAGCUUGACUCCUUCCUCUGAGGCAGCUUCUUUUCUCCUCAUCAGUCUAUUGGCCCCAGAGAAGUCUUUAAUACAUCUCCUGCUCUCAGCUUUCUGCCCCAGAGUCUAAUUCUGGAAGAAACCAACCUGUGACAAGUAUUUCUUCUUUCUGGAGUUGGAAGAAAGUUGUCAUUAGCAGGUACAAGACCCAGGAUGACUUCUGUAAAUGAGCCACAUCCUUUGCAUACUUCUCCAUUGUUCUCACCUACAGUACACAGCCCAUUUAACAUAGAAUGUUUCUAAUUCUUCAGAGCCAUAUUUGAUGUCAGUGAAAGUGAGUGUCAUAUAACCAG